rnacentral:lncRNA from 1 species
GCAAUUGUCUAUGUUUUUAAGGUGUAAUUUAUCUAAACCAAAGUACCUAAAGAGAUUUGCUUUCCUGUUAGUUUAUCGAGAGUUGUUAAUUAAUUGUUCGUUUGAGAUUCAAUAACCCUUUCUUUAUUCCUUUCGUGUGUCCUGUAACCUAUAACCAAAUAUUUUAAAUUAAUUCACCACCGUUCCCUGUGAUCGACACCCGACUUACCUAAGCUAUACUGUAAUCUGACUAGGUACACUGCCUAUAAGUGCAUAGUUAGUCUAAGUUUGUUAGGUUAUAAAUAUUAAAAUUAGUGGGUACUUUCGUGCACAUUAAGUUUUUGACACCGUUGCCGGGGAACGGCUUUUAAUUAAUUUAGUUUAUUUGAUUAUUCGUUAUUUGUUAGUUUUUAUUUUCUUUUAGUUUUAUUUUCGAUGAUAUCAUUUUACUUGUCGGGAAGGUUCUUGUUAAUUGCAGGAAUUUGGGGUCAUACACAUUGUUUGACUUUACCUUUUGCAUGGGUUUCGAGAAUUCAAGCGAUUAGGGAAUUUUUGACCUGCUUAACCUACUACUUUGUUGAUUUGUCCAACUCAAUCCAUGUGGCGUAGUAUAGCAAAGCGUAUUGUGGUGGUUAAGUGGAAGACCGAGCUCUUGCUGUUCUUGACUAGUUAGGUCACUUCUUGUUCUACUUUUAGUUAAAGUUGCGAAGAAAACAAAGGAAAUAUUCUAACGGGUCCCGAAAGUGGUUGUUUUCACAAACCAAUUCUUGCGUGCAAGGGUUUUAAUCAACCAUUGUUGUUUGAUCUCGACAAAGACAAGUGAUCAUGACGUCUCAUUUUAAAUGUCACUCAUCAGAAAGUCAUGGCUGUUGUUGAAGCAAUUAAAAGAAAAAAAUAAUAAUUAUAAGUCCACAAAUUAAUUAGUUGGAAAAAGGAAUUUCAAAUAAGGAAAAGGAAAUAUUUCAGUUAAAAUUACGCCCAGUGUAAUUUUAAUUUACGCCAAGCGUAAUGAACCAUUGAUCGCGGAUGACUUCUUCUCAGAGUUUGGGUUACACCCACCGUAAAUCGGCGACAGGUUAUAUCUUUUUACCCUUUGACUUUUUUGUUAUUCUUUCAAACCUUCCUUCACACACACGCAUUGGGACGGCCAAGUUCUUCCCCCAAGAUCUCCGAUUCUUCUUCUUUUCUUGUAAAAUCGACACAAAGAUUAUGGCCCAAAGAACUCAAAGGACCAACCCACCCGAGGACGUGACCGAUCACCGUUUCUUACAAUUUCCGCAAACUCUAAACGAUGCAACCCGGGCACGAUAUGUCACCAAUCUGAGUCUGCUGCUCACUAAGGAGAUCGACAUAGCACCUUCAUUUUACUGGGAAUUGGCGACCCAGACUGGACUUGCUGCACUGAUUCAGGAUUUUUUGCAAUACACACACUCGGACGCGAGUGGAGUGCAUUUGUUCGUAUGUCAGGGAUGGGCUAGACUGUUCAGGAUCCAGGAGCCUGUAUAUCGGGAAUUUUUGCUGGAGUUUUAUGCUACAGUUUCCUAUGACCCUAGGAAGACACCCGAUGAUAGGAUAGCCAUUUCCUUCAGACUGGGUGGUGUGAGCCGGGAGUGCAGUGUGAUAGAGCUCGCCACUCAAGUUGGGAUAUCUACAACAGAUGAGACGAGGAGUGUUCACUUCCCGACAUGCCUUGCUGAUUGUCUCACGGACCGGCCAAAUGACUAUAAUGAAAACACUUUUUGAGCUGAGAUUACAGGGGGAGUAUAUACACCAUCUACUACACGGGGGAGGAUGAUUCGGUCUACCACAUACAGAAUGUUGCACCGUUUGAUUUCCAUAUCUCUCACGCACCAUAAGAACAGUGAGAUAGUGCCUUCGACAGACUUGUAUUUCUUAUGGGCACUUGUUACUCCAAGGAGGCCUUUGAACCUUCCAGUUGCUUUAGCCGCAUAUUUGGGUAGGAGGGCCAGGGGACUUCGUGAGGAUAGCCCAAUUUGUGGGGGGCAUUUUAUCACGUGAUUAGCUCGAUCAUAUCAGUUGUUGACGCAUGAGAUUACGAGAUCGAUGGUGCUGCAUGAUAUGAGGCUGAUGAGCCUUCAGUUAUUAGAGUCGAUGUGUGUACUUGAGCGGGGCGAAGAUGGUGUCUUGCGGGUACGACUAGAUGAUGUGGCGGACGAGGAGGGUGCAGUCGAGCCACAACUGAGACGAGUCCAGCGGCGUAGACCUGCUCCCCAGGGAGCGCAGCAGGGACCUGAGUCGGAGAUUGAUAUACGUUAUCUGGCUCAAUGCAUGGACGAGGGAUUUUUCCGCAUUAAAGAGGGAGUUCAGCGACUGGGUGAGCACGUUGCACACGUGGAGAGACAACAGCAGUGGUAUGGGGAUGCGUUGACCGCAUUCUUUGCCCACCAGGGGUUUCAGUACUCAGUUCCUUUCCCUCCACCAUUCCAGUCACGACAUGAUGGAGCCAGUACUUCUGGGACACAGCAGCAUGAUGACGGAGAUGACGAAUCUUUGCAGAAUUUUCGCCUUUAGAAAGCUGGCAGUAAGUUCAGCAGCUAGGUCCGACUGUUGCUAGAGAGAGUUGUGUGAGAGUUCGAAGAUUUUAGUCAAGACUCACGAUUUGUCAUAAGUGUGGGGUGCAUAUUGAUUUCGUGAGAGAUUAUUUAGAAGAUUGGAAUUUUUACUAUAUUUUGACUCUUAUGGUAUGGAUGAGCUGUUCCCACACCAUGGAGAUUUAUUUCGACGCAAGGUAGAAGUAUCAUCCCGGUUGCCACGACAUGGUUGACACUUUCCUACGUCGUGGGGGAGAUUUUUAUCGCACGAAGAGACUGCCAUUCUUGACAAGACGACGUGGUUGACACUUUCCCACGUCAUGGUUAUUACACAUUGCAUUUGUUUGCAAUCUUUUGCACCACAUUUUCGAAGUCGGCACUCUUGAUUUUAUCGGAAAAUUCAGAAGCAGCCGUUCCAGUUUUCAGUCUUUCAGCAAUAUUUGAAGCAACUUGUAGCAGCCCCAUUCGAUCUUGCCACAACUAUCCCAGGGGAGUCUGUUCCUUUUUCUCCUUUUUUUAUGUGCUUAAUUAGUUUUAUGCAUACAAUGAGGACAUUGUAAGAAAUAAGUGUGGGGUAGGGGGUCGGUAAAAGUAAAUUAUAAAAAAAAACGAAAUAAUAAUUUCGAAAUUGCUAGAUUUAGGGAAAUUUAAAAAUUUAAAAACUUGAAAUAAUAGUUUAAUUUAGAAAAAUCUAGUGAUAAUUUAAAUUUUUUUGCUAAUAUUGUAUGAGAUGAUCCGAUGAGAACUCAAAUGUUUAGUUGAGCCAAUACACGUUAGAGUGCAUUUGUGGCCUCCCUUAUUUUAGUGAAAUCAUGGAACAAAAACACAACCUCGCUUAGUUUGAGGGAUGCAAUAUGUUUAGCAUCAUGUACCAGAAAUGUAUCCAGGAAAAUUAUUAUCGUUAACCAAUAAAGGUUGAAGUUGAGCGCCCCUGCUAAAGCAUGUAGGGUUUUGAGCGAAAAAAAGUGAGGUACAUGUUUAAAAAAAAAUAAAAAAGAGAGAAUUGCAAGACAAGUUGUAAGAAUUUUGGAGCAACUAAGGUGAAGAUCAAAAGAUCAAAAUUCCAAGAGUUCAAAAAUUGAAGAUACCAGAAAUCGAAUCAAACAAGGUGGUGAAUUCAAAGUAAUCAAAGAUUAAAUUAUCAAGAAAGUGAAGAAUUCAAAAGAGCUCCAUAGUGGUAUUAUAAAUUGUAAUUCUAGAUUAUGUAUGCUUGGGUUGCUCAACCAAAAACACCUUGAGGUUAGGAGGUUUUCUGCGGAUGGAUUCGGAGGGAUGCAUAAAAUGAGCAUUGUUCGAAAGAAGUGGGCGAGUGUUUAUGAAGAUUGUGAGUAUUUAAAGUAUGGGGGGGUACUUUAGGAAAAUUUUAGACACAAAUGCAUGCGUUGCAGUUUUGACAUAAUGGUUGAAUUUAAAAUGGAUUGUUAGUGCGAUAUUGGUAAAAUAAAAGUAAAUUUGCUUGGGGGCAAGCAAAGGUUAAGUGUGGGGUAUUUUGAUAUGUGUAUUUUUUUUUUAUAUAUUUUUAUACAUUAUAUCUUAAUAUUUUAGCCUUUAUUAUUCUCUUUUAGAACUAAAAAGUACUUAUAAUGCUUUGAAUUAUGAUUUGCAGCUAUUCGUUGUUGAUGGAGCACAAAAGAAAAGACUGGAGCGAAAUUAGGGCUUACAAGCUAAAAGAAAGAAAAAAUGUUGGAGGAGUAAACUACGCCCCGCGUGAUGGACAUGUACGCCAAUCGUAAUAGCCAAAUACGAGUUACGCCCAAGGUAAUAUAUGGUUACGCCCAGCGUAACUGCUUGCAUCCGGAUAACCUCAUCGCGCAUUAAUCUUCAGUACGCCCAACGUAAUUCGACUUACACCCAGCGUACGUAAGUCGGUUCCAAGGGCUAUAAAAAGCGAUUAUCAGCUAACCAGAGGGGGGAUUCAACUUCUAACUUAAUUUAGUUGAUAAUUAACUUAUGUUAAGCCGUUUUGAGGAUCUAGAAGGCGGCCGGAAGGCCGUUAAGCUAACAGGAGCGGAGAUCGGAAGGAUUGGAGAGCGGAUACAUGUCGGUAAUCAUAUGGGUUGUUAACGUGAUCAUGUUUAGCAUUCCACUGUGUUACUAUUAUGUAUUUAGUUUCUGAUUUAAAAAAACCUUUUACUUUGUGUUUAUGAUUGAAUGAAACUUUCAUUAUUAGACUAAUUGAUAUAUUGAAUUGUUUGUUUAUGUUUAAUUUAUCUUGCCAAGCUUGUUAAAAGAUCCUUCUGUGUUCAUGAUAAUUAUUUGCUGUUAAUUAUUAAGUAAAUUGAGUUGUAUGAACAUCUGCUUGAUUGCUUGUCUCUUAUGAUUUUGAUGACCAUCAAAAUUAUAAGUCUAGGAAUAACGAAUGUGAAACUAGGAUUAACUUGGGAAUAAGUAAGUUAAUGUGUGAGCCUUGUUUGAUGACCAUCAACAAGAGGUUAAUUGAACGACUAAUUUGAUUAACUAUAUUUACAAGUCUUGCUUGAUACGAACUGAACACUAGGAAGCAUGUUAGUUUAAUCAACUGAUCACUGUUUGAAUUGACUUGUUUGCUAAAGGAUUAGUUAUAGUGAACGUGAAUCUAAUCAUUUUAGGAAUCGGCGAACAUGAAUAAAUGAAUUUGUGUAUGCAAUUGUCUAUGUUUUUAAGGUGUAAUUUAUCUAAACCAAAGUACCUGAAGAGAUUCGCUUUCCUGUUAGUUUAUUGAGAGUUGUUAAUUAAUUGUUCGUUUGAGAUUCAAUAACCCUUUCUUUAUUCCUUUCGUGUGUCCUGUAACCUAUAACCAAAUAUUUUAAAUUAAUUCACCACCGUUCCCUGUGAUCGACACCCGACUUACUUAAGCUAUACUGUAAUCUGACUAGGUACACUGCCUAUAAGUGCAUAGUUAGUCUAAGUUUGUUAGGUUAUAAAUAUUAAAAUUAGUGGGUACUUUCGUGUAAAUCAUCAUGCCAUUCGGUUUGACAAAUGCUCCUGCUGUAUUCAUGGAUAUGAUGAAUCGAGUAUGCCGCCCA